rnacentral:rRNA from 1 species
CUCUAUUAGAAAUCAUUAAUAGUAAUAUCUGCUCAAUGAAAUUUUAAAUAGCCGCUUUGUGCUAAGGUAGCAUAAUCAUUUGUCUUUUAAUUAAAGACUAGAAUAAAAGAUUUUUCAUCUUAUAUAAUUUCUAAAAAUAAUUAACAUAAAAUUAUCUUAAAUGUAAAAAGACAUUUAUAAAAAAGAAAGACGAUAAGACCCUAUUGAACUUUACUUAAAGUUUAACUGGGGUAGUAAAUUAAUAAUAAUUUUAAUUUAAUAAUUAUUAUAAUUAAAACCUAAUAAAAUUAAUAAAAUGAUCAAGUUACCAUAGGGAUAACAGCGUAAUAAAAUUUUUAAGCCCUUAUUUAAAAUUAAGAUUACGACCUCGAUGUUGAUUAAUUUUCUAAAACUUAACGCAAUAGUUUUUAAAGAAGGUCUGUUCGACCUUUAAAAAAUUACA